AGCCUUCUGAGUUCGUGCUGAGAUUUCGUCAGACACUAGACCAUCAGGACUGAUUAAACUCUCAAGAUAAGUGAAGUG
rfam:Schistosoma mansoni, Puerto Rico, WGS project CABG01000000 data, contig: 0242